rnacentral:rRNA from 1 species
AUUGAACGCUGGCGGCAUGCCUAACACAUGCAAGUCGAACGAGUGGCGGACGGGUGUGUAAUGUCUGGGAACCUGCCCGAUGGAGGGGGAUAACUACUGGAACCGGUAGCUAAUACCGCAUACCAUCGGAUGUGCCCCGAUGGGAUUUGCUUGUGGGUGGGGUAACGGCUCACCUAGGCGACGAUCCCUAGCUGGUCUGAGAGGAUGACCAGCCACUCGGGAACGGGGAAACGGUCCAGAGUCCUACGGGAGGCAGCGGUGGGGAAUAUUGCACAGGGGGCGGAAGCCUGAUGCAGCCAUGCCGCGUGUAUGAAGAAGGCCUUCGGGUUGUAAAGUACUUUCAGCGAGGAGGCGUUACUCGCAGAAGAAGCACCGGCUAACUCCGUGCCAGCAGCCGCGGUAAUUC